UGUAUCUGAAGCCUGACGAGGAUGAGAACCUCCGGGGGCAAGAGGUUCGACUCGAGCGCAGCGAGAGAACGUUGCUUCAGCAACGGCCCGCAGGGCGAGCCACGCAGUGGCGAGUCAUCCUCUAUCAUCGACCA
rnacentral:sRNA from 1 species